rnacentral:lncRNA from 1 species
CUGCCAUCCUGUGCUACAGACACCCAGCUGGAGAUGUCCAUGUGGGCUGUACUGCCCUUUGUCCAGGGGAGCAGGGUAACAUUAAUUAAACGUUUUGUUGUUGUCCUUGGAGAACCUGUUGCAGAACAAGUGUUUAUGUCUUUCUUUGGGCAUGUUGUGCAGGUGAGAGCAGAUGGAGAUGGAGUUUUGACAGCCACACACUCAGAGGAGCCUCAGGCUUCACCAAAACCAGCCUGUCCCCCCUCCAGGAGAAGUUUGAGUUAG